rnacentral:rRNA from 1 species
AGAGUUUGAUCCUGGCUCAGGAUGAACGCUGGCGGCGUGCCUAAUACAUGCAAGUCGAACGAGUUUUGGUCGAUGAACGGUGCUUGCACUGAGAUUCGACUUAAAACGAGUGGCGGACGGGUGAGUAACACGUGGGUAACCUGCCCUUAAGUGGGGGAUAACAUUUGGAAACAGAUGCUAAUACCGCAUAAAUCCAAGAACCGCAUGGUUCUUGGCUGAAAGAUGGCGCAAGCUAUCGCUUUUGGAUGGACCCGCGGCGUAUUAGCUAGUUGGUGAGGUAACGGCUCACCAAGGCGAUGAUACGUAGCCGAACUGAGAGGUUGGUCGGCCACAUUGGGACUGAGACACGGCCCAAACUCCUACGGGAGGCAGCAGUAGGGAAUCUUCCACAAUGGACGCAAGUCUGAUGGAGCAACGCCGCGUGAGUGAAGAAGGCUUUCGGGUCGUAAAACUCUGUUGUUGGAGAAGAAUGGUCGGCAGAGUAACUGUUGUCGGCGUGACGGUAUCCAACCAGAAAGCCACGGCUAACUACGUGCCAGCAGCCGCGGUAAUACGUAGGUGGCAAGCGUUAUCCGGAUUUAUUGGGCGUAAAGCGAGCGCAGGCGGUUUUUUAAGUCUGAUGUGAAAGCCCUCGGCUUAACCGAGGAAGCGCAUCGGAAACUGGGAAACUUGAGUGCAGAAGAGGACAGUGGAACUCCAUGUGUAGCGGUG